rnacentral:ncRNA from 2 species
CACAGUCACCAGGGGUGCCGACCGUCAACAGCGUCGGCUGAGAGAACACCGUGUUCAACCCUAGGAACCUGAUCUGGUUCAUACCAGCGGAGGGAGCGUGACGGGUGCCGAAA